UCAAAACGACUCUCGGCAACGGAUAUCUCGGCUCUCGCAUCGAUGAAGAACGUAGCGAAAUGCGAUACUUGGUGUGAAUUGCAGAAUCCCGUGAACCAUCGAGUCUUUGAACGCAAGUUGCGCCCAAAGCCGUUAGGCCGAGGGCACGUCUGCCUGGGCGUCACGC
rnacentral:rRNA from 1 species